rnacentral:rRNA from 1 species
AUGGAGCGCAUCAGGUUCAGGAGCGUCGACGCCGGCGCCGGCACGUACCCGACGACGCUGCCGAGCCCCAGGAUGCUCGACGCCGCCGCGACGGAGCCGCCGGGCUUCAGGAAGAGCAUGAACCCGAUCUACGCGGACGGCACCGCCCGCUCCGCGUCCACCGCGGCGAUCUCGGCCUCCCUCGACGCCCCCGACCCGAACGGCUCCACACGAAGCCACGGCGCCGACGCCGACGCCGAGAGCGGGAACAGCAACAACAACAGCGUGGCCGCGGUGCUGGUGCGGCGGCACACCGGCGGGGACGCGCGCUGGGAGGCCAUCCGGGCGGCGGACGCGCGCGAGUCGCCGCUCAGCCUGGGCCACUUCCGGCUGCUGAAGCGGCUGGGGUACGGCGACAUCGGCAGCGUGUACCUGGUGGAGCUCCGCGGCGCCGCGGGCGGGGGCGCGCUCUUCGCAAUGAAGGUGAUGGACAAGGGGUCCCUGGUGAGCCGGAACAAGCUGUCCCGCGCGCAGACGGAGCGCGAGAUCCUCGGCCUGCUCGACCACCCCUUCCUCCCCACGCUCUACUCCCACUUCGAGACCGACAAGUUCUUCUGCCUCCUCAUGGAGUUCUGCAGCGGCGGCAACCUGCACUCCCUCCGCCAGAAGCAGCCCAGCAAGCACUUCACCGAGCACGCCGCCAGGUUUUACGCGUCCGAGGUGCUGCUGGCGCUGGAGUACCUGCACAUGCUGGGCGUGGUGUACCGGGACCUCAAGCCGGAGAACGUGCUGGUGCGGGAGGAAGGCCACAUCAUGCUCUCCGACUUCGACCUCUCGCUCCGCUGCGCCGUCAGCCCCACGCUCGUCCGCACCCCGUCCGGCCGCGUCGGCGCCGCCGGCGGCCUCGUCCACGGCUGCAAGCUCCCGCGCAUCCUCUCCUCCAGCAAGGCCAAGGGCAAGAAGAAGCUGGCGGCGGCCAAGGCCACCCAGCAAGAACUGGUGCCCGGCGACGGCAAGAAGCAGCCGUGGACGUCGCUCGAGUUCAUGGCCGAGCCGACGGGCGCGCGGUCCAUGUCCUUCGUCGGCACGCACGAGUACCUGGCGCCCGAGAUCAUCCGCGGCGACGGCCACGGCAGCGCCGUCGACUGGUGGACCUUCGGCGUCUUCCUCUACGAGCUGCUGCACGGCACCACGCCCUUCAAGGGCUCCGGCAACCGCGCCACGCUCUUCAACGUCGUCGGCCAGCCGCUGCGCUUCCCGGACGCGCCCGGCGUCAGCACCGCCGCCAGGGACCUCAUCCGCGGCCUGCUGGCCAAGGAGCCGCAGAAGCGGCUCGCGUACCGCCGCGGCGCCGCCGAGAUCAAGCAGCACCCAUUCUUCGAGGGCGUCAACUGGGCGCUCGUCAGGAGCGCCGCGCCGCCCUACAUCCCGGACGCCAUGGACUGCUGCCCCGUGCCCGUGCGGCUCCCCAGCGACGCCCCGUCGCAGGGCGGCACGCCGAGGAGCGUCGCCCCCGGUGGCAAGGCCGGCUCACCUCGUGCUGAUCCGGCGUCGUACGUGGAUUUCGAGUACUUCUAG